GGCUACCACAUCUAAGGAAGGCAGCAGGCACGCAAAUUACCCACUCCCAGUUCGGGGAGGUAGUGACGAAAAAUACUGAUGCGGGACUCGUUCCGAGGCCUCGCCAUCAGAUUGAGCUCAGUCUAAACCAUUGGACAAGUUUCGACUGGAGGGCAAGUCUGGUGCCAGCAGCCGCGGUAAUUCCAGCUCCAGUAGCGUAUGCUAAAGUUGCUGCGGUUAAAAAGCUCAUAGUUGGAUCUCACGGCCGGAACGGCGGCCCACUAAAGGUUUCGACCAGCGCCGCGGUUAGUCGGUGUACUCGUUACGCUUGGCCUCCGAGGUUUGCUUGCGUCUGCCUGGUGGUCAACUGUCCGUCUCCGGCUCGAGACUCCCGCUGGUUCGCGAGGGAUGCCUUGUCUUGUACGGGUGUCCCGAGUGACCGGCACGUUCACUUUGAAUAAAUUAGAGUGCUCAAAGCAGGCAAAGUCUUAUGCCUGAAUGAUGGUGCAUGGAAUGAUGGAACAGGACCUCGGUUCUGCUCUUUGGUCGAUUUUUUAGAAUCGAGGUAAUGAUUAAAAGAAACAGACGGGGGCAUUCGUAUUGCGACGCUAGAGGUGAAAUUCUUGGACCGUCGCAAGACGAACUACUGCGAAAGCAUUUGCCAAGAAUGUUUUCCUUAAUCAAGAACGAAAGUUAGAGGAUCGAANGCGAUCAKAUACCGCCCUAGUUCUAACCAUAAACGAUGCUACCUGGCGAUCCGUCGGCGUCAUACCCACGACUCGACGGGGAGCCUCCGGGAAACCAAAGGCUUUGGGUUCCSGGGGAARUAUGGUUGCAAAGCUGAAACUUAAAGGAAUUGACGGAAGGGCACCACCAGGAGUGGAGCCUGCGGCUUAAUUUGACUCAACACGGGGAAACUUACCAGGKCCAGACACCGAAAGGAUUGACAGAUUGAGAGCUCUUUCUCGAUACGGUGGKUGGUGGKGCAUGGGCGUUUUUAGUUGGUGGAGCGAUCUGUCUGGUUGAUUCCGAUAACGAACGAGACUCUACCCUACUAACUAGUCGGGGGAUCGUCUCCCGAGACGGAGGCCCCGGGUAAUACGCCUCCUCCGUCGGCGUGGUGGCUCGGUUGUGGAAAAUCCCGACGCCCUCCUCCCCCCGCAAGUCGGAAGCCUUUCGGGGUUCUUCGGCUCUGUAGGGUGGCGGUGCGGUCCGACGGCAACGCCCUCCGGGUUUACUUCGUUCGACCGGUCGGAGAAACGGUCCCGCGGUGUCCUCCAACGAGGGGCGUUCGUCGCAGCGUCUUCUUAGAGGGAUCGGCGGCGUUUAGUCGCACGAAAGAGAGCAAAAACAGGUCUGUGAUGCCCUUAGAUGUUCUGGGCCGCACGCGCGCUACAAUGUAGAGUGCASCGUGUUGGCCUACUCCKAAAGGAGCGGGUAAUCCUUUGAAACCAGUACCCGGUAAGGAUUGGGGCUUGAAAAUGUUUCCCAUGAACGAGGAAUUCCUASUAAGCGCAAGUCAUCAGCUUGCGUUGAUUAAGUCCCUGCCCUUUGUACACACCGCCCGUCGCUACUACUGAUUGAAUGAUUCAGUGAGGGCAUUGGACUGGCGCCCGAGGUUAGUCUUCGAUUC
rnacentral:rRNA from 1 species